GGCCCGCGGGUGGUGACGGGAUCUCGACGUUGUUCGUCCUUAUCGGAUUGGACGGGCUGCCACAGGUCUCCAGGAAAUAGCCCCCGCAUAUGGACCGUACCCGAAACCGACACAGGUGGACUGGUUGAGCAUACCCAGGUGCUUGAGAGAACGGCGUUGAAGGAACUCGGCAAAUUGCCCGCGUAACUUCGGGAGAAGCGGGACCCGUCUUUGGGCAACCAGGGGCGGGUGGCACAGACCAGGGGGUGGCGACUGUUUACUAAAAACACAGGGCUCUGCGAAGUCGACAAGACGACGUAUAGGGUCUGACGCCUGCCCGGUGCCGGAAGGUUAAGGGGAGUGGUGCAAGCUACGAACUGAAGCCCCGGUAAACGGCGGCCGUAACGAUAACGGUCCUAAGGUAGCGAAAUUCCUUGUCGGGUAAGUUCCGACCUGCACGAAUGGCGUAACGACUUCCCCACUGUCUCCAACGCCGACUCAGCGAAAUUGAAUUCCCCGUGAAGAUGCGGGGUACCCGCGGUCAGACGGAAAGACCCCGUGCACCUUUACUACAGCUUUGCACUGGCACGCGACGGUUCAUGUGUAGGAUAGGUGGGAGCCAUUGAAGCGAGGCCGCUAGGUUUCGUGGAGGCAACCUUGAAAUACCACCCUUGAAGCGUUGCGUGUCUAACCGCGGCCCGUGCAACCGGGUCCGGGACCCUGCAUGGUGGGUAGUUUGACUGGGGCGGUCGCCUCCCAAAGAGUAACGGAGGCGCGCGAUGGUGCUCAGGCUGGUCGGAAACCAGCCGCCGCGUGCAAGCGCACAAGCCCGCCUGACUGCAAGGCCGACGGGCCGCGCAGAGACGAAAGUCGGCGCUAGUGAUCCGGUGGUCCCGCGUGGAAGGGCCAUCGCUCAACGGAUAAAAGGUACGCCGGGGAUAACAGGCUGAUAACCCCCAAGAGUCCCCAUCGACGGGGUUGUUUGGCACCUCGAUGUCGGCUCAUCACAUCCUGGGGCUGAAGCAGGUCCCAAGGGUUCGGCUGUUCGCCGAUUAAAGUGGUACGUGAGCUGGGUUUAGAACGUCGUGAGACAGUUCGGUCCCUAUCUGCCGUGGGUGUUCGAGACUUGCGAGGAGCUGCCCUUAGUACGAGAGGACCGGGGUGGACGAACCUCUGGUGGACCGGUUGUCGCGCCAGCGGCACAGCCGGGUAGCUAAGUUCGGACGGGAUAACCGCUGAAAGCAUCUAAGCGGGAAACCUUCCUCAAAACCAGGUCUCGCUAUCAGAGCCGUGGCAGACCACCACGUCGAUAGGCCGGAUGUGAAAGCGCGGUAACGCGUGCAGCUUACCGGUCCUAAUCGCUCGAUCGA
rnacentral:rRNA from 1 species